GUGGUGUGGAAAAAGUGCGAUGCG
rnacentral:snRNA from 1 species